rnacentral:rRNA from 1 species
GACGAACGCUGGCGGCGUGCUUAACACAUGCAAGUCGAACGGUAAGGCCCUUCGGGGUACACGAGUGGCGAACGGGUGAGUAACACGUGGGUGAUCUGCCCUGCACUUCGGGAUAAGCCUGGGAAACUGGGUCUAAUACCGGAUAGGACCACUGCCUGCAUGGGUGGUGGUGGAAAGCUUUUGCGGUGUGGGAUGGGCCCGCGGCCUAUCAGCUUGUUGGUGGGGUGAUGGCCUAACAAGGCGACGACGGGUAGCCGGCCUGAGAGGGUGACCGGCCACACUGGGACUGAGAUACGGCCCAGACUCCUACGGGAGGCAGUAGUGGGGAAUAUUGCACAAUGGGCGCAAGCCUGAUGCAGCGACGCCGCGUGAGGGAUGACGGCCUUCGGGUUGUAAACCUCUUUCAGCACCGACGAAGCGCAAGUGACGGUAGGUGCAGAAGAAGGACCGGCCAACUACGUGCCAGCAGCCGCAGUAA